rnacentral:rRNA from 1 species
UACAGAGGGGGCAAGCGUUGUUCGGAAUUACUGGGCGUAAAGGGUUUGUAGGUGGCCUGCUAAGUCAGACGUGAAAUCCCUCAGUUUAACUGGGGAACUGCGUCUGAUACUGGCGGGCUUGAGGACAGGAGAGGAACGCGGAAUUCCAGGUGUAGCGGUGAAAUGCGUAGAUAUCUGGAGGAACACCGGUGGCGAAGGCGGCGUUCUGGACUGUUUCUGACACUGAAAAACGAAAGCCAGGGGAGCAAACGGG